rnacentral:rRNA from 1 species
GACGAACGCUGGCGGCGUGCUUAACACAUGCAAGUCGAACGGAAAGGCCCUGCUUUUGUGGGGUGCUCGAGUGGCGAACGGGUGAGUAACACGUGAGUAACCUGCCCUUGACUUUGGGAUAACUUCAGGAAACUGGGGCUAAUACCGGAUAGGAGCUGCUGCUGCAUGAUGGGGGUUGGAAAGUUUCGGCCGUUGGGGAUGGACUGGCGGCUGAUCAGCUUGUUGGUUGGGUAGUGGCUGACCAAGGCAUUGACGGGUAGCCGGCCUGAGAGGGUGGACGGGCACAAUGGGACUGCGGGACGGACCAGUCUCGUACGGGAGGCAGCAGGGGGGAGUAUUGCACAAUGGGAGGAAGUCUGUUGCAGAAACGCCGCGUGCGGGAUGACGGCCUUCGGGUUGUGAACCGCUUUCGCCUGUGACGAAGCGUGAGUGACGGUACUGGGUAAAGAAGCACCGGCUAACUACGUG